rnacentral:rRNA from 1 species
GAGUUUGAUCGUGGCUCAGGACGAACGCUGGCGGCGUGCUUAACACAUGCAAGUCGAGCGGUAAGGCCUUUCGGGUACACGAGCGGCGAACGGGUGAGUAACACGUGGGUGAUCUGCCCUGCACUUCGGGAUAAGCCUGGGAAACUGGGUCUAAUACCGGAUAUGACCUCCUAUCGCAUGGUGGGUGGUGGAAGAUUUAUCGGUGCAGGAUGGGCCCGCGGCCUAUCAGCUUGUUGGUGGGGUAAUGGCCUACCAAGCGACGACGGGUAGCCGACCUGAGAGGGUGACCGGCCACACUGGGACUGAGACACGGCCCAGACUCCUACGGGAGGCAGCAGUGGGGAAUAUUGCACAAUGGGCGAAAGCCUGAUGCAGCGACGCCGCGUGA